AAUUGACCAAAAGAGAGAAAAAUGAAAUCCAAAAAAUUGAUAUUUUCUCACAUUUCUUUUAUCAGGUCAGCAGGGAUGGAUGUACAAUGGCUAUAGCUAGCAAGGUUACGCUUACAGGCAUAAACUAGUACGUGGCAAGCUUUCUUUCACCACCAGAUGAAGUCGGUGGUCAUUGUCUUCUAGAGGGUCCAUGCAUGCCUGGGGAUAGGUAAUUCAAAUUUGUUGAGCUUGUCCAACAAUUGGUGGGUUGAUGUCAAAGGCGGUGCUUUUGUUCAACAGGCAAUUAUCUUAGUUGCCAAGGUAGUGUCGUAGUGUUGGCCUGUUAGUUUAUUCCAUUUCUAGCAACAGCCAAGAACAACUCUGCAUGGUUUCCAUCUCCGGCAUCAGCCAUGACCAAUGGCAGCUCUGUAUGGCUUUGAAUGCUUUGCUAGAGCAGCACUCAUAGGGUUUGUUUAUGAGUUGGGUUUAAUGUUAUGGGGUUUGAUUGGUUUAA